AUACGUAGGGGGCGAGCGUUGUCCGGAAUGAUUGGGCGUAAAGGGCGCGUAGGCGGCCCGGUAAGUCUGGAGUGAAAGUCCUGUUUUUAAGAUGGGAAUUGCUUUGGAUACUGUCGGGCUUGAGUGCAGGAGAGGUAAGUGGAAUUCCCAGUGUAGCGGUGAAAUGCGUAGAGAUUGGGAGGAGCACCAGUGGCGAAGGCGACGUGCUGGACUGGAAGUGACGCUGAGGCGGGGAAGUGUGGGGAGCAGACAGGAGUAGAUGCCCGGGUAGUCCACGCUGUAGGCGAGGAAUGCUAGGUGGAGGGGGUAUCGACCCCUUGUGUGCCGCAGGCAACAGAAUAAGCAUUCCGGCUGGGGAGGACGGCCGCAAGGUGGAAGCUCAAAUGAAUGGACGGGG
rnacentral:rRNA from 1 species